GACGAACGCUGGCGGCGUGCUUAACACAUGCAAGUCGAACGGAAAGGCGCUGAUCUUGCUGUGUUCUCGUGUGGCGAAAGCGGGAGUAACACGUGAGUAACCCGUCCCUGACAUUGGGGUAACAUCAGGAGACUGGGGCUAAUACCGGAUAUGAACUCCUGCUGCAUGGGGUGGGUAGGUAAAUUUCGGCGGUUGAGGAUGGACGCGCGGCCUAGCGGCUUGUUGGUGGGGUAGUGGGUUACCAAGGCUUUGACGGGUAGCCGGCCUGAGAGCGUGACCGGCCACAUUGGGACUGAGAAAGGGCCCAGACUGCUACGGGAGGCAUCGGUGGAGAAUAUUGCGCAAUGGGCGGCAGCCGGAUGCAACAACGCCGCGUGCGGGAUGACGGCCUUCGGGGAAGAACCCGCUUGCGCCUGGAACGAAGAGUGAGUGACGGUAACUGAUAAAGAAGCAACGGCUAACUACGUG
rnacentral:rRNA from 1 species